UUUUGAAAUACACAGUGACUAGUAUGUGCAGAGACAAAAUAAAGCAGGGUAUUAAGCAAUUUCCUGUUGACCUUAAUCAACAUUCUAGCCUGGAUGGAUGUUGGAGAAAGAGGUGGGAGUAACUGGCUGAGGGAAUGUUCAUCUGAGUUUCUGAAAUAUUCAUUUCCUGCAAAUCCUCUACUCUGCAGCCAUCUCCAAUGGAAAUGCCAGUUAAAAUGAGCAAGAGAAAGAUUCUGUCUGUAGGAGCCCUGAAAGCCCUCAUUUAGAGUUAGGGUUCUGCUUUCCCAGGGAGACUGGUGGUUUUACCCAUGGACAUCUGCCAGAAAUCAAACAAAAGGGACAGGUAGGAGAAAAUAGUCUGUAAUUUCGGCUCUAUGGAUGUAUGUCAUGUAGUAGAUUUCCUCAGCUUGGUGUAUGUUUCUGGUAUGAAACUAUCAAAAACUCCCACGAUAGCGCCCACUGUUUGGGGCCACCGGCAGGGACACUGUGAGCCCAAAGAUCCCUCCUGGGUGGAGCUAACAAGCUUCUCCAGCCUCCCACUGCUCUGUCCUUUCCAAAUGAGUGGUAAAGACAACAAUAAAAACCAAGAAUCCUUAAAUCUCAGGGGAGAGUGGAGAGGUGAAGGGAGGUCUGUUUUAUGGCACACCUUCAAUAAAAAAGAUUUACAGGCACUUUCCCAAGAACUGAGUGAACAAGACAGACAAUGCCCUUGCCUUCAGAGUGCUUAUAAUCUAGGGACCAGGCAAAGAACUGGACUCAAAUGCCUUCACCAGGGAGCAGUACCUUUCACUGCGUGGCAACAGAGAAGCUUGUGGCAGAGUAAAGAGAGCCGGGUCUCUGCAAUGGGCAGCCUGUGGGACUCUCAGCAAUCACCCGGCCAUGGGCUGCAGAGCCCAGAGAGGGGAGGAUCCGACUCUUUGAUCUCUGCUGGAUCUCCGGCACCCGGCACAGUGCCUGGCUGGGUGUAGAUAGUAGUUUUUGAAUGAACAAGUGCAGAGUGUGUCCAGGGAUUAACAUUGUGAAAAUGGGCCUGGUCCAUUGUAGGUGUUUGAUAAAGGGAGACUUCAAAUGCAGGAUUCUUGUAACGAGACCAGAGCUGGAAGAUUUCUUGAAGUGGGGGAAAGAAAAGCGCUCCCUGCCUGGCUGGAAUUGCUGUGUGUAUGAUGCCCUGCAGAGAGAGAGAAGAGAGCAGGCUGGAUGCCUUCCAAAAAUCAGAAGGGAAGCUGAUUCCUACUUGGGAGGGUGUUAAAAUCUUAAGGGCAAGGCCAACAGACCGAGGGGAGAAAGUGAAGGAGAGAGAGAGAAAUGUGUGAGCAUCUUUUCCCUUUUUUUUUUUUUUUUUCUGUUUUCUUACAGCCAAAUGCCUGGAAACCUGCGGCAUCCGGCAAUUCCCUGGCCGCGGCGUAUAGUAAGCACUCAGGAAAUAGUUGAGCCACUUGGAGCUUUAUGAUGUUUUAGGACUCCUCAAGUGCAUGCGUUUAUGACAGAAUAGUUCCUGUAAGGAGAAUGUUGGCGCUCCUACCCGAGGUCUUGGUUAAAUAAUUCAAGUCUGGACCAGGGAGCCGAGGCUUCUGGUUCCAGAAUAUCAAGCCGGCGCAGAGAUCUCUGGGACCCUAAUGAAGCAGGCAGAUGGUGAAAUCCCGCACAUUCAUACCCAGGGCCUACCGUGUGCCAGACCCUGCCCAGGUACUGGGUACCCGGCCAGUGGCCAAAGCAGGAAUGUUCUGCCCUCAUGGAGCUUCCCGAUCCACGGAGGAUGUUGACAAUGAACAAAGCAGAGCUGAUAAUCACAGCUGGGAUAGUGCCACAGAGGAAGUGGUCAAGCGCGUGGCUUUGCCAGAGAGGAGCUCCUGUCGGAAGAGGAAAUACCACCCUGCCCGUGCUUUCGUUCCAGCCCAUUCUCACUCUCUGUCUGGGAAAAUCACAAGGAAACUCCACGUUUUGCUCCUGGAAUUCUUGCCAGCGUGAUUCAAGCCGAAUGGAGCACAUGGCACCGAGUUCCCACACAAACAAAGACGUUGCCACUUUCAGCGCGGUGGCUUCCUUCCUUCUGCCGGCCCGGGCCCCCGUCUUGCCCAGGCAAGGGGGGCAGAGUGCACGCGGCCCGGUUCUCACCUACAAGGCCCCCCAUGGUGGGUGCACCUACAGUUGGGCGGUGGGUGGUGAAAUAAACACAGAGGCCAUCUGCCCAGGGAAUGCAUCCCGAGCCCUAUCCACUCCCCACUCACCCAGGGUUUCCUGGAUCAGAUGUCUUACCAGUGUUUAACUGAGCUGUGCGCCUUGGAGUCAAUUACCUACUCUUUCUGUGCCUCAGUGUUCUCAUCUGGAAAAUGGAGAUGGUCACAGCACAAGAUGAUUAGAGGAUUAAGGGAGAUACAGUGAACGUGCCGUGCAGCGCUCGGUAGACAGUGGGCACUCAAUAACUGCUGGCCACGAUGCUGCUGCCCUGUGUCGGUGUUAGCACAUGUUCUCGGAGCUCAGGCCUUCGCGGGGCCGUGCGUUCCUCGGCUAUAAGCCCCGUGACCGUGAAAUCAAUCACUUUCGUGCUCGGCGCUCCCAGGCGCUGCGUGUGAGAGCAGGAUUGCGUGGAGGCUCCCGUCCAAACCCAGCGUCGACAAAUGGAACAGGGAGCUGGGCGGACACAUCGAUUAGGCACAUUCCUGGCUCGAGUGUGGCUCUCUCCAGUCCCCUCCCUGCAGGCUGGCGAGCAAAAUUCAGGUGCUGACCUCCUGAGAACACCCCUUAGGCUGAAACCUAUCGCCCCCUUUGUCAGAGAUUAUGUGAUCUCCAGGGAAGAAGAGGUGUGGCAUCUCACCUCUGCCACUUCUGAACUGAGUGACUUGGGACAGAGGACUCUCCCGUGCCUAUGAUGCCCUCGUCUACGAAUGGGGUUGAUCACUGCCCUCCACGAAGGAUGUCGGGAGGGGGGCUCGGCACCGACUCGAGUGUCAGGGGCUUGGCCGGGGUCUGUGCUUAAGAGCAGCUGCCCCUUCACCAGUGAUGCUGCUGUCCCCAAAUCUCUCAAUUUUAACUAGGGUCCCCCUUGUGAAGUCCUGGGUUAUCCCCACUGGAAACCUGUUUUGGGAACUAGCCCCCCUGCAUGUCACCGAGGGAAAUGGGCGUCAAAACUGAUGGCGCCCUAGGUGGGGGGGAGACCUGGCCCAGACCUUGUCACAGGAUGAGCACCUCUGGGAUGAGAGGCCAAGUGGCCUAAUGGGCCGGGGACUCAGACCGGCUGGAUUUGAGCAGUGUUUCCACGCUCACUCCCAGUGGGGCCUUGACAAGUUCCUUAACUGUUCUGAGCCUCGGUUUCUUCACCUGAAAAAUGGGUGUGAUGAUAUCCCUCUUUGUGAGACCAGAGAAUUAAUGGCAGCUUAUUAAUUAUAUUCUAAGGCACUAUUCUAAGCCUCCCUGUGAGGUCAUCACAUCUAUAAAUAGCCUCACCUGACAGUUGGAGAAACUGAGGCACAGAGCGGUCACUAACUUGCUCAGGGCCACUCGUUCAUCCCAUUUCCUGGCGCGGUCCCUGCUCCUUCCUCUACUCUCCUCACAUUUCCCCAAACUCGCCGGGCGAACCCACGCCUCUUGGCCUCUGUGUUCCUUCUGCCUGCAGUGACUGUUUCCCCACUUCCGCCUGACUCAAUCUGGUGUGUCCUUCAAGGCCCAGCUCAAGUGUCUCCUCCUCCAGGAAGCCCUCCUGCCAGGGCACUAGAGGUAGGUGCUCCUGUAGCCUGGCAUCCCCUUGACGCAGGCUCACACCCCCUGCACAGUUACAAUGGAUUCAAUCUCCAGAGCACUUUCUUUCUCCCGGGCACGUGCAAGGCCAUUCGUGCCCCCUCUGCAGUGGGGUUGGUCUUUUCUCCACCUCGUGGCUGGGGAGACGGGAGCCGAACUCAGGUUCGCUCCCCAGGAGGCAGCUGGGAACGCAUCCCUUUUAACUCGGCUCUGUUCUGGGACCCUGGCCUAGGUGUGUCUAUGGCCCCAGGGCCCUACACCACGCGGCGAUUCAAACAAUAGCUGUCGAAUGAAUCCUGAGCCCUCAGGAUGUGUCUCGAGAAUAAUAAUAGCUAAAAACCAAAAAGACCUCAAUCAAGGACCCCAGGUUCCCAUCCCCCCGGCUGGUUCAGGCAAGUCCUGAUCGGAACAGAAGCCCCGCAAGAGCAGACCCCUGGGUGCAUCUGUCAACACGUGCCUAUUCCAGGGUCUGGCUGGAGGAAGUGCUCAGAACGUACGAAGUGACAGGGAGAUGUAUUUCCCCCUCGCGGGUGACAUCCUGGACGGCCCUGCUCUCUGUGGACCCAGUCUGCUUUGGGGCCCCUAAAUCUGAAGGUCUUUGCUUUCGGCCAAGGGGUACGUAGAGGAAAGAGUGAUCCCUGCACGCCCCCAAAUCAGAGAAAUUGGAGGUUUGAUGAGUGCUUCACGCACACAGAGAAAUGACAAAGCGAUAUAAGAGUGAGAGCCUUCAGAAUACCCAUCUUCUCCAGCAUCCUGCGUUUUUUUCUUUUUAGA